CGGGACUGGUGAGUAACGCGUGAGGAACCUGCCUUCCAGAGGGGGACAACAGUUGGAAACGACUGCUAAUACCGCAUGAAACAUUUGAACCGCAUGGUUUGAAUGUCAAAGAUUUAUCGCUGGAAGAUGGCCUCGCGUCUGAUUAGCUAGUAGGCGGGGUAACGGCCCACCUAGGCGACGAUCAGUAGCCGGACUGAGAGGUUGACCGGCCACAUUGGGACUGAGAUACGGCCCAGACUCCUACGGGAGGCAGCAG
rnacentral:rRNA from 1 species